rnacentral:pre_miRNA from 1 species
CGUGCACCAGUGGGGUCCCUCGGCCUGGCCUGUGCCCUCUUGCAAUCCAGGACCCCUCGGGGGAUGUCAGAGAGCUGGUUUCAGCCGAUUUCGCAGGCCAGGCCGAGGGACCCCACUGGUGCACG